rnacentral:rRNA from 1 species
GACGAACGCUGGCGGCGUGCUUAACACAUGCAAGUCGAACGGAAAGGCCCUGCUUUUGUGGGGUGCUCGAGUGGCGAACGGGUUAGUAACACGUGAGUAACCUGCCCUUGACUUUGGGAUAACUUCAGGAAAUUGGGGCUAAUACCGGAUAGUUGCUCCUGCUGCAUGGUGGGGGUUGGAAAGUUUCGGCGGUUGGGGAUGGACUCGCGGCUUAUCAGCUUGUUGGUGGGGUAGUGGCUUACCAAGGCUUUGACGGGUAGCCGGCCUGAGAGUGUGACCGGCAACAGUGGGACUGAGAUACGGACCAGACUCAGACGGGAGGCAGAAGCGGGGAAGAUGGAAAAAAGGGCGGAAGCCUGAUGCAGCAACGCCGAGGGCGGGAGAACGACCUUCGGGUUGUAAACCGAUAUCGCCUGUGACGAAGAGUGAGUGAAGGUAAUGGGUAAAGAAGCACCGGCUAACUACGUG